GCCACUAAUAAAUCUCGCUCUUCUCUGCACAUGCAUCCGUCUCCUUACCGCUCACCAUUACACUCACCCUCACACUUAACUCUUUUAAAUCUUUUGCUUCUAACCAAAAUUUACCAAUAAAACAAAAGCAGCACUAUAAUGAUUGCAGAUAAUAAAUGUGAAAAGUGUGAUGAUUCUGUUGAAAAAUAGAACUAAGCAGUACGGACAUGAAGGGAUACUUAGCUACCUUGGGGAGAACCUUUAAACAUUACCAUUGAUUAUAACACACUGAUUGGGUUCUUUCCCCCUGUUACUAACAGAAAUGCUACAAUGAAUUUACUAUAAAAUCGUUAUAGUUUGUCUUUUUUUAUAGUGUGUACCCUGGGAUUCUGUGCAUAACAUUGGGGAUAGUCAUAAAUAUCUAUCUGCAAUGUAGUUGGUUUUUUUUAGUGAUUGAAAUAUUUACAAUUCUUUCUCAGUCUUUGACAUUUCCAGUAAGCAGGAAUGUCAGGGUAGUAUCAUGAUUAACUGGAGAUUAUAAAAUGUAGGAUGAUAAAAAAGAUUCAACAAUUUAAGGACUGCAGAGAGGCGGUGAAGAAAAACUCAUCUACGUUCAUACCUCAGCUCAUACGAGUCUCUCCUUUCCAAGUUCUCACUAGAAGUAACAUCUGCAAAGUCAUUCUACUACAGAGGAAAAUUUGAAUCAUCAGCAUAUGAUCCACACAAUUUCCGUAACAUUUUUUUCUUUCCUCCCUUACUCCUGAGGAUUCUAUCACCUUCUUUGAGGAGAAAGUUGCAGCAAUCCACCAGUACUUUUCAUGUUCCCACUCUUCCAACCAAUGCUCACACCCCUACAUCUAACUCUCUGGCUUCUUUUUCUCCUCUCUCCACAAACAAAAUCCUUCAUCUCCUGACUUCAAGCAAUCUGACUACAGGCCCGCUGGAGCCCGUCUGUUCCAGACAAUCUUGAGAAAUCUAUUUCCUUUCAUCGCUCUCAUCUUCAACAACUCCUUAUCCUCAGGACAUGUACCAAAUGCAUUUAAGACUUCCAUUGUGGUACCAAUCUUAAAGAAGGCCACACUCGAUAGCUACAACAUUAGCAAUUACUGACCAGUAUCACUUCUCUUUUUCCUCUCAAAAGUUCUUGAACAAGCAGUUUACAAUAAAAAAACAAUCAAUCUCUUUUCCUUCACCCAGAACCAGCUUCACAAUCCCAAUCGGUCUGGCUAUAAACCGGCACAUUCAAAAGAAACAGCUCUCAUAGCAGUCACAGAAAAACUUCAUACUGCCAUACUGCCAUUAUCAUCUGUUUUGAUUCUUCUGGAUCUUUUGGCAGCCUUUGACACAGUAAAUCACAAUAUGCUCCUCUCCGUUUUGCCCAGUCUCAGUGUGACUGGUUCUGCAUGGAAAUGGUUUCAGACCUUUCUGGAGGGAUGGUCCUAUCAGGCAACAUGGAGAGGAUCCACGUCCAAUCCAUCUAGACUCUCCACCGGUGUCCUCCAGGACUCAAUAUUAGGCCCGCUUCUCUUCUUUUUGUAUACUCGAUCCAUUGGUUAUGUAAUAUCUUAUGUUUCAUAUUUCUCAUAUUUCAUUGCAUGAUGAAAGAACAGGUUUCAGAGUUUUUGUGUCACGCCUAUGUCUGCAGACUGUAGACUAUGGUAUUCAUCACGGAUUCUUUUUAUGUCACCAUCACACACACCACUAAAAGGUGACCUCAGGAUGACAUCUGAGCCUUUUAAUGCAACAUCUUAUUUAGCAAUUGUGUAGUUUGUUGAACUGAAGGAGCUGCAAUGCAGGAUAUGACUCAAUGUUUUGCAAAGCAGUAUGACUGUGUCAUAAAGUCCACUUACAAAUGCUCUCUCCUGCACUCUGUAUCCUGCUUUUAGAGGUUGGAGGUGGCGAGUGAGAACAUUGUUUUUCAGGAUAUGGAAAGAAUAAAAAAUGAGGAUAGUUGGGUCCAGAGAGAGAAGGAAAGAACAAGAAACAGAGCACCAGAGAGCGAGCGGCAUGAUGGUGGAGGGGUCGUCCCUCAGCAUAUCCAUUGGUAAAUAAAUAAAUAAGCCCAACAUGUGGUAUGUCUGUUGUCCCUGCUGGAAGCAGGCCUGCUAACUACAAGGCUGUCCAGUAUACUUUGCAAAAGGGUGAGAGGGAAGGAAUAUGGUGACCUCAUUGAUGAGUUUAUGCAGGCUGCUACAGACAAGUGAGUGUUAAGGGUAUUAAGUCUAUCAAGUGUUAAAGCUGAUAACUCUAUUAAUGUUUGACACUGGUCUGAAUUGCAGGUAUGAUUCAGUUUGAAGACUUUGCCAACAACCAAUGCUUUCCGAAAGUACUGAAACCAUUAUUGCACUUUCAAUGAUAAUAUACAAGGCACAGUAUCAGUGUGAUCAUCAGAGUAGAGGUCACGUGAAUUAUGAAAAGGAAGAGUUUACCCAUGAUCACCCCCAAAUAAAGACCUUGGAGGAGGCAAGGCAGCCAUUGGUUGGGUGUUUACAGAAAAGAUCCUGAAAGACAUGGCCUCCUUCAAUGAGAGGCCCAUCAUCUUUGCCCUCAGCAAUCCCACCAGCACAGGGGAGCAGAGCUACAUGGUGACGCAAGGAACGUGACACCAGCCAGCUCUCGCGCUCCCUUUAAGAGUCUGCACUCUUCCUCGUGGCUCAGUAUUAAGAACACGACUGUUUAGAAUCUGCUAUGCAACUGUCUGAAACUGUGUUUGUGUGUGUGCAUGUCUCUCUCUCUCUCUCUCUCUCUCUCUCUCUCUCUCUCUCUCUCU